rnacentral:lncRNA from 1 species
UUGAAUUUAGUCAGCCUAAAGUCGAAAUACAAAUCAAGUCGGCACUUGUGUAAACAUCUGUUCAAGGCGUCAGCCGUCAGCUUCACCAAAGUCCAAGAGAGAUUGUGCGAGCUACUGGCAUUUCAUUGCAGGUAGAGAAUUCCAAUGUGCAGAUAUAUCUUACUGCUGCAAUUCUUUUCUGUUUUCUAAUAUACAAAUUUGUCCAAUUAAUUUCUGUGCUGCAUUUGCGGAUUCGCACCUGUAUUAGUUCAUCAGUUCAGUCAUUUCUAUUGCUUUGUAUGACCUUCCCCUAAAAAUUGCUAUGAUUUGUGCGCUGAGUGUGCAGUGUUCAUGUUGUAUGGCAUCUUCGUUCUUCCUGUUUUCUGGUUCCAACUCAAUGUCCCAGAAAGGCAUAUAUUUUGUCUGCUAUACAUUUGACUUGAGCAUGGGCACAGCGUGAGAGAAUAGUGACGAACCUGUGCCGGUGUGUUACAGCUAAAACUUUUGUGACCCUUUUUUUAUUCGAGUAGUUAAGUUUCUUCCUUCAGAAUAUGCUAUCUGGCAAAUACAUCUUGGCACGAUGCUGUUUGCUCUUCAGAAG